rnacentral:rRNA from 1 species
AGAAUUCGCCCUUGCGGAUCCGCGGCUCGUUGUAGAGUGUUGAGCCUGGCUCAUGGUGAACGCUUGCGGCGUGCCUAAGACAAGCAAGUCGUGCGGGCCGUGGGUGUAUCUCACGGUCAGCGGUGGACGGGUGAGUAACGCGUGGGUGACCCACCCUGAAGAGGGGGACAUCCCGGUGAUACCCAGGUCUAAUCCCCCAUGUGGAUCACAUCCCUUGGUGUGUGUUUAAAGGGCUUUGCCCCCUUCCUGAUGGGCCCUCGUUCCCAUCAGCUAGUUGGUGGGUGUAAGAGCCCAUCAUGGCGACGUCGUGUAGCCGGUCCGAGAGGACGGCCGGCCAUAGGGGCACCGUGACACUGGUCCCACCCCCACGGGUGGCAGCUGUUAGGAAUUCUCCGCAAUGUGCGUAAGCCGACGGAGCUACGCCGCCUGGAGGUGGAUGCCCCUCGGGGGGUAAACACCCGAACCCGGGACGAACC